UACGAAGGGGGCUAGCGUUGUUCGGAAUCAUUGGGCGUAAAGGGCGCGUAGGUGGCGGGACAAGCGUGCGGUGAAAGCCUGGGGCUCAACCCCAGGUCUGCCGUGCGAACUGGUGGACUAGAGCACUGUAGAGGCAGGUGGAAUUCCGGGUGUAGCGGUGGAAUGCGUAGAGAUCCGGAAGAACACCGGUGGCGAAGGCGGCCUGCUGGGCAGUUGCUGACGCUGAGGCGCGACAGCGUGGGGAGCAAACAGG
rnacentral:rRNA from 1 species